UAAAUUCUAUCAGUUCUAUUUGAUGACUAAUUUCAACUGUAUAGUAAUUACACCAAAAGAACAUUGUUGCUUUUAUAAUGUUGACACAUUGUAAUAUUUUCCAUGGCUUUUGUUUAUAUCAAUGAGAGUUGGUGUUCAACAUGGAAUAUAUUUUUUGACACAUGUCAGAAGCAUGCAAAGCCUUCUUAAUUAUUUUUUCCCAUUCCAAUUAAUCUCUUCCAUAUAUUUUCUUCCCUUUUCAAAUUUUCUGAGAAAAUAGAUUUUGCUGGAAUUUUUUUUUCUUUCUAAUUGGGUUUGUUGGGUUUUGAUUUUUUUCCUACAAGAAAAAAAGAAAAGAAAAGAAAGGAUGAAGAAGAGGGAGGCAUAUGGAUUUUUUGAUUCACGUUUAAUUUGAGGAAAACAUAUUGAAAACUGAAUUUGCUUUUGGUUUCUGUUUAGUCCAAACACUCUUGCUUUGCAGACUAGAAGAAAUAUUCUUAGUUUGUUUGGAGAUGAUUCCAAUGCAUUGAGAGUCCUAGGUGCAAAAUUUUGAGCUGUUUUUGUUUCAGGAACUCUAGCAGUUGGAUGUCCGGUAGAUGUUGUAGAAACUCAAAGAAAAAUAGUUGUUUGUUUUUGUAGAUUUAGUGUCACUGAAGUUUAUGUGUUUCUAUUUAUCUCUUUUCCCGCACAAACUUUAGAGACAAAGGUGGGGAUACAAAAGUAUGAUAAUUUGAUGAUAAAAAUAUGUUUGUCAGAUUUUAAGAGAUUCAGUUCUAUUGAUCUCCAAGGUUGGGGGUUGAGAAGACAAUGUUCGAGUGGUGGUUCCACGAAUUUGGACUGAGUCGUGGGUUAAACUCUGUUAAGGAUGAGAGAAUGUGUUGUGAUGCCAUCUCUUUUCUCUAUUGUUGAAAGAUGAUGGACUUGAAUUUGAAGAAUUUUAAAAAGCUACAACCUACAAGUUCUUAUUGGGCAUGUUUUCAAUUGGACAUUCUAGCAAACCUAUAAAGUUAGGACAUGGGACAAUAUCUUUAGUCACUCUGCGGCUGCGUCAGCCAGCUUCGACUACUGUUGGUGUUUCUUAUGAGGUUAUAACUUAUAUAAAGGUGGAUUUAAGGAGUCAGAUUCAUGUAGACAUUUGACAUUUAAUAUGAUGUACCCCAUUUUGCUUUGCUAAGUCUUAAAUACUACCCCAUUGAUAUGUACCCCAUAUUUCAACACUUAUUUGUUUUUGUUUAAAUUUAAAAAUUCUCUAUUUAAUAGAUUUGUAUGUAUCAAAAAUUUUUUUUAUGUAUUAAUUCCUUAUGAAUUCAUGUA